rnacentral:rRNA from 3 species
AGACCCGAAACCCGGUGAUCUAGCCAUGGGCAGGUUGAAGGUUGGGUAACACUAACUGGAGGACCGAACCGACUAAUGUUGAAAAAUUAGCGGAUGACCUGUGGCUGGGGGUGAAAGGCCAAUCAAACCGGGAGAUAGCUGGUUCUCCCCGAAAGCUAUUUAGGUAGCGCCUCGUGAAUUCAUCUCCGGGGGUAGAGCACUGUUUCGGCUAGGGGGCCAUCCCGGCUUACCAACCCGAUGCAAACUGCGAAUACCGGAGAAUGUUAUCACGGGAGACACACGGCGGGUGCUAACGUCCGUCGUGAAGAGGGAAACAACCCAGACCGCCAGCUAAGGUCCCAAAGUCAUGGUUAAGUGGGAAACGAUGUGGGAAGGCCCAGACAGCCAGGAUGUUGGCUUAGAAGCAGCCAUCAUUUAAAGAAAGCGUAAUAGCUCACUGGUCGAGUCGGCCUGCGCGGAAGAUGUAACGGGGCUAAACCAUGCACCGAAGCUGCGGCAGCGAACGUAUCACUUAAAGCGAUUCAGCGGGUUACGAUUGACGGAGCGAAGCGACGUCAAAGCGUAUACAAAGUCGAGUCGGUUUAAGGAUACGUUCGUUGGGUAGGGGAG